ACCCAAGGGGAAUGAUUGGGGAGAAUGAAUCUCAAUUCUUGCUUCAGAAAGUUGGUGUUCCAAUUCUACAAGUUCUACACGGCUCAUGUGAUGAAGGGUUUUCGAUAUUGGUUGGGCACCUAGAAUCAGGUAAAUCAAAAACUCUCUUAUGCGGGAGGUAGACCUGGUAGCUUCUCUGGAAAGACAUAUGAGAAAUUUAAUAUAACAAAGAUUAAAAAAAUUAUUGGGUCAAAAU
rnacentral:lncRNA from 1 species